rnacentral:rRNA from 1 species
UACGUAGGGGGCAAGCGUUGUUCGGAAUUACUGGGCGUAAAGGGCGCGUAGGCGGCACGGCAAGUCGGGAGUGAAAGCCCGGGGCUCAACCCCGGAGGGUCUUCCGAAACUGCCGAGCUAGAGUGCGGAAGAGGCAACCGGAAUUCCCAGUGUAGCGGUGAAAUGCGUAGAUAUUGGGAAGAACACCAGAGGCGAAGGCGGGUUGCUGGGCCGAUACUGACGCUGAGGCGCGAAAGCCAGGGGAGCAAACGGG